rnacentral:lncRNA from 1 species
UUCAAUUGGCAUAUUAUAAGAAAACAUACCUAUAUUCAUAAGAACUUCGUAUAUUUCAUUAAAUCUUGAGUAACAAAUUCAAGUACUAAUUCAUAAUAUUAACGCAUCAACAACAUAAAUGAUAAAAUAUAUUAUUUCAACUAAAUAACUAAUGUCACUAUAACUAAUCCUACUUGAAUAUCAACACUAAUAAAACAAUAAAUACAAAGCGCUCAAACAACUUCAGCAACUCUUCAUUUUAUUGAAAUCUUCAACAUUCUUAGUCUUUGAACAUGAUAUUGCAUGACCUGAAAUAAUAAAGUAAGUGAACGUCAAAAGAUAAAAUUUAAUGUAAAAAAAAUUAUAAGCCUGCAUGUGAAUAUUUUGUGAAAGUAGCCUCCAAUUGUAACACUUCUAGUUAAUGUCUAGAGUUUUCCAAAAUAUAGAGCAGUAAAACUAUCUUAAAAGAAAAUAUUUGGAACCAGAUAUCAUUUGUACACCAAAUGAGUGAACCUACUUUACAACAACUAUUCCAACAACAUAAAGGAACCUACUUGCAAAGUUUCUACUACAGUUUGGUCGAUAUAUUUCUGGUAGGGUCAAUGUUCUAGUUAAAAAGGAAGCAAUGUUUCUUAGACAUUACAGAUACGUUGAAAAACUGAGCAAGACACCUCUAUAGAAAGGCAAAUAGCUCUAAGAUUAUGCUGCAUCAAAAGACAUCAAUAGAAAUUAAAGAACUAUUAAAAUAGACUUAUUUUUAACUUACAAGGGGUAGAAGUAGCUUGAGUGCAGACUUAAGACAUAGUUAGAUGUGUAGUCAAGCAAUGAAGCCAAAGUUAAGAACAACUGCUAAUCCAAGCUCUCUUCCUUGCAAACCUUCACUGGUAAAGAAAAAAUUAAAAAAGGAAGAAGAUGACUAUGAAUAACCGGAUAAAUUAAAAAAUCUUUAAAUGAGAGAUCUUUUGACAAAUAGCUCAUCGAUAUGUAACCAGAGGAAUGGAAUUCUCUACAUCACUGUAAAGAAAGAAUACCUAAAACUUAAUUCAAAAGGUAUUCAAUGGUCAUAUGGAAAGGCUCCAAAGGCAAAUGAUAACUGAAAAAAGUGGUGAACCAUAGGAAAUACUUAUCAUGAAAGGAAAAACAUCAACCUGAAAUUCCUAUAUUUUUCAUUUCUUCAUGGUUCAGUUAACAAAAAUCUAAGAAAUAUAUUUUAAUAAUUUAAUUGAAUUCUUUUAUAUCCUUAAGAUAUUUAUGUAAAAUGCUCUCACUGAGAUUACUUAUAUAGAACAAGGUAGGUUCUAUCACUUUAAAAUAGGAAGUUUGAGAACUAAAAUGUGGAAUAGUGAAGAUUGGCACAACUUUCACUGGACACUUUAUCACAUGACACUCUUCUAAUUUCUAAAGCGUCUGUUUUAUCACGCUUGUGUCUAAAUUCAUAGGACUACGCUAAUGGAUAAUCCAUAAAAAAUCAAAAAACAGGCAUCUUACAUCUGAAAAAGGAACACACUUCCUUGGAAUCCAUAUCAUUCAAGCUGUUCUAAUUCCAACAUAUGGAACAAGUAUGCUAGCCCUCCACAAGGCCUACAAUGCAAACAUAUUAUAUGCUAAUUAACUGCCAACUCAAAAUUUUCAUGAAUAUGAACAAUUUUAGUGUUCCCAUGUCUUGUUAAACGCUUUAAAAAAUGAGAGAUUUGGAAAUAAUUAGAAAUAACACCCUUUAAUGACUAUAACAACCACGAGGUCCACUACUGAAAAUCACUUUAUAAGUAGAAACUUCUUAACAUAAACAAACAUUCCGUAAUAAGAAUUCAUCGAGAUCGAGUCAGAGUAGCUGCAUCACUUUCUUUAGAGACCUUUCGAACCAGAGAUAUAAGAAAAUAUACAAAAAUGGAGAAGAAGAAGAAGACGAAGCCUUUCUACCUUUAACAGACAUCUUAUAAUUUUGAUAAAAAUAUAUAUAUUUAUGCAUGAUUGUAUUACUACACUGAUAGAUAAAAAAACUACAAUAGUACUUAUAACAAAGGUUUUGGGAGGCAAUAACGUGAAGGAAGACUUUAUUACGACCGACGAGCCCUGCGACCUACAUAACUCAAAGAAUAUUGUGUUGCCGAAGUGGCCAUCACUACAUAAGCAAAAACUUAAUAAAGUAUUCAUUCUUUAAGUUAAUAACACAUAAAGGACCAGAGUGAAGAGUAAGUAAAGCCUGAAGAUAAGAUAAAAUUUAAAACAAAAAUGACAACUACUUUAAUAAAAAUUUUAAUGUCAUUUCCUCCAUCAAAAUUACCUAUACCUUCAUUUGGAGGAGUUGUAGAAGGUGUAUUCACAUCUAUUACUACCCCAUAACACCAUUUUUUAUACAUAUAUUCAAAUAAAUACAAAGUAGAAGAUUAAAAAAUAUUUGAGGAAUACUAAACUAGAGACUUAAAUUAAAAUAGUUCGUAUGUCACAAGGAACUCCAGACCAACUCAGAAGACCUCAGUUUUCAUUACUGGAAUUGAUAAUUUAUUACAAUAACACUUUUGAAUGCAACUGGUCAAAUAAAAAUUGCAACACUUGAAUACAUUAUGGGGAAUUAGAUCCAAGAAGGCAUCACAUUACUUUUAUGACAAAUAAAGGCUAUAAACUUUCAAUUGAUGCAAGAUAUAACAACAGAAUCAAGUGUAUAACAGAAUUCAAAAGAUUUGCAGCAGUAUGCCUUCUUUAGCACUAUGAAUCUACAAUUAUUGUUAUCUAUAUUAUCCAAGUAGAAAUUGCCAUAUGUAACUGCAGAACAAUUGUUAAAAAAAAAUUCAAGCUUUUAUUACUUUGUGUUAACUUUCAAGACUCGCCUAGAUGUUACAGUGGACAACACUCAUUCGGUGAAUGACUAGAAGAAAAAAUCAGUUAGGUUUUGAAAUUUUUGCAACAUCCUAGGGUUAACACUCAUAUUUUGAAUGAUUAGAAGCACCCCUAUUUGCGUGUAUGCUUUCAAUUAGACUAAUAUCUCGAGGGAACACUUCUCAAGUCUUUGGGGAAAGGGUAUCCAUCAUUAGCGAUAAGCGCGCGCGCGCACAUAUAUAUAUAUAUAGAGAGAGAGAGAGAUGAACUGGGUUACCUGUGGAUGGCUCCAUGGUGGCCGGGGACUGUAAAAGACUAAUUGGUUCGACAACAACGGAGAAUUAGAUCCAAGUCUUUGGGGUUGUUGGCCGGCAACGGGUAGGUCACAAUAUUUUUUUUAGAUGAAACCCUUUUUGCUUUUCCUUAACCAUUACUUUAGGUGCUUGAAUCUGUUCGAAAUAUAGCU